UGGGGAAUAUUGCACAAUGGGCGCAAGCCUGAUGCAGCCAUGCCGCGUGUAUGAAGAAGGCCUUCGGGUUGUAAAGUACUUUCAGCGGGGAGGAAGGCGAUAAGGUUAAUAACCUUGUCGAUUGACGUUACCCGCAGAAGAAGCACCGGCUAACUCCGUGCCAGCAGCCGCGGUAAUACGGAGGGGGCAAGCGUUAAUCGGAAUUACUGGGCGUAAAGCGCACGCAGGCGGUCUGUCAAGUCGGAUGUGAAAUCCCCGGGCUCAACCUGGGAACUGCAUUCGAAACUGGCAGGCUAGAGUCUUGUAGAGGGGGGUAGAAUUCCAGGUGUAGCGGUGAAAUGCGUAGAGAUCUGGAGGAAUAUCGGUGGCGAAGGCGGCCCCCUGGACAAAGACUGACGCUCAGGUGCGAAAGCGUGGGGAGCAAACA
rnacentral:rRNA from 1 species